rnacentral:rRNA from 1 species
AUCGAACGCUAGCGGGAUGCCUUACACAUGCAAGUCGAACGGAGUGGCGAACGGGUGAGUAAGGUAUCGGAACGUGCCCAGUAGCGGGGGAUAACUACGCGAAAGCGUAGCUAAUACCGCAUACUAUUGGAGCGGCCACUAUCGGAUUAGAUAGUUGGGGGGGUAACGGCUCACCCAGGCGACGAUCCGUAGCGGGUGUGAGAGGACGACCCGCCACACUGGGACGGAGACACGGCCCAGACUCCUACGGGAGGCAGCAUGGGGGAAUUUUGGAAAAUGGGGGAAAUCCUGAUCCAGCCAUCCCGCAUGGGCGAUGAAGGCCUUCGGGUUGUAAAGCACUUUUGGCAGGAAAGCGGUACCUGAAGAAUAAGCACCGGCUAACUACGUGCCAGCAGCCGCGGUAAUAC